rnacentral:rRNA from 1 species
UACGAAGGGUGCAAGCGUUAAUCGGAAUUACUGGGCGUAAAGGGUGCGUAGGCGGUUUUCCAAGUCAGUGGUGAAAGCCCGGAGCUCAACUCCGGAACUGCCAUUGAAACUGUUGAACUUGAGGACGAGAGAGGUGAGUGGAAUUCCCAGUGUAGAGGUGAAAUUCGUAGAUAUUGGGAAGAACACCGGUGGCGAAGGCGGCUCACUGGCUCGUUUCUGACGCUCAGGCGCGAUAGCGUGGGGAUCAAACAGG